CAAGUAAGACAAAUGAUCGCGGCUGCAAGUGUCGAAAGACCGCAGGUGAGGAAAGUCCGGGCUUCAUAGGGCAGGAUGCCGGAUAACAUCCGGUGGAGGUGACUCCAAGGACAGUGCAACAGAAAGAUACCGCGUUAGCAAUGAGCCAUGCGCAGACACGGAUUCAGCAGAUUUUCGAGUAAGCUUGCUUACAGAGAAAACAGGAUGAAUCCGGGGAUGGAUACGGCGAAUGCCGUGUAUCGAAAAUUGCGCAGCAAUUUGAGAGAACGCAUGGCGGAGUAAAACAGGAUUCUGUGUAUUGCUCAUUGUUAACGUAAGGGUGGAAUGGCAGUGUAAGAGACUACCGCCCGGCUGGUAACAGUCGGGGCACAUGUAAACCCCAUCCGAAGCAAGACCGAAACAAAGCGUUGACGUGGCCCGCCAGCUUUAGGUAGGUCGCUUGAGGUAACUGGCAACAGUUAUCCUGGAUAGAUGAUCAUUCACGACAUAACCCGGCUUAUCGUUUUGCUUGAAUU
rnacentral:RNase_P_RNA from 1 species